rnacentral:rRNA from 1 species
GUCUAGGGCCAUGCCACCCUGAAUGUGCCCAAUUUCAUCUGAUCUCAAAGCUAAGCAGGGUCGAGCCAGGUUAGUACUUGGAUAGGAGACCACCUAGGAAAAUCAGGUGCUGUAGGCU